AAACGUGGCCACACCGAAAUGCCAAAUCCUGAUUUUGUCAGAUCUCAGAAGCUUAGCAGGGCCGGGACUGGUUAGUACUUGGAUGGGAGACAGCUGGGAAUGCCAGGUGCCACAAUGA
rnacentral:rRNA from 1 species